AGAUUGAACGCUGGCGGCAUGCCUUACACAUGCAAGUCGAACGGUAACGCGGGGCAACCUGGCGACGAGUGGCGAACGGGUGAGUAAUGCAUCGGAACGUGCCCAGUAGUGGGGUAUAGCUCGGCGAAAGCCGGAUUAAUACCGCAUACGACCUAAGGGUGAAAGCGGGGGACCGUAAGGCCUCGCGCUAUUGGAGCGGCCGAUGUCAGAUUAAGUUGUUGGUGGGGUAAAAGCCUACCAAGCCGACGAUCUGUAGCUGGUCUGAGAGGACGACCAGCCACACUGGGACUGAGACACGGCCAGACUCCGUACGGAGGCAGCAGUGGGAAUUUGGACAAGUGGGGCAACCGUGAUCAGCCAUGCCGCGUGGCGGGAAGAAGGCCGUUCGGUUGUAACCGUCGUUUGUCCGAGGGAAGAACCG
rnacentral:rRNA from 1 species